rnacentral:pre_miRNA from 1 species
AAAAAGACAAACCCUGGUUUCCGUGUCCAACGUUUGACCGUCCGUCUUAUUUAAAAAAUUUAUGAAAAAAAUUAAAAAGAUAAGUCACGCACAAAGUAUUAAUCAUGUUUUAUCAUCUAACAACAAUAAAAAUAUAAAUUAUAAAAAAAAUUCAUAUAAAAUAGACAGAUAAAGUUGGACACGGAAACCAAGGGUUUGUCUUUUU